rnacentral:rRNA from 1 species
UCCCUCUCUAACCUCUCCACAAAAAGUUCAAUGGAUCUGCAGCAAUUAAUGGAGCAUCAACUGUUCGACGAUGGCGCCGUCCCGAGCUGCAUGAUCUCGCCGUUAGAGGCAGACAACGGUUUCACCGACGAGCUGCCGUCUUUGCAGUUACCGGACCUGGACCUUGACUUCGACAUCCACGAGUUCUCCGCACCGGCAACGGCACCGGCGAAAGCGGCCACCUCAGGUGGCUCCGGAUUGGUUGGUUCCGGUUCGGGAUCGCACAAGAAGCUCAACCACAACGCGUACGAGCGCGACCGGCGGACGCAGCUCAAUCAGCUCUACUCGACUCUCCGUUCACUCAUCCCCAACGCAGAUCACACAAAGAAGCUGAGCAUUCCGACGACCGUCUGUCAGGUCCUUGACUACAUCCCCAAGCUGCAGAAGCAGGUCGAGGAUCUGGAGAAGAAGAAACAGGAGCUCACUAGAGCCAAAUGCAGAGAAAGACUGCAGCGCGUCAAGGACAACACAUGCCGUAUUGUUUCUGCCACUCCUCUCGAUGGCAACGAAAUCAUGGUCCAGGUUAGACUGCUGAGCAACAUGGCUGCAAGUCUUCCUCUGUCCAAGUGCAUAAACGUAUUUGAGAACGAAGGCCUUCACCUCAUCAGUUCAUCGACUUUCUCCACCGAGGUCAAUAGAACAUUUUACAGCUUCCAC